UUUUAGUGCAGGGUCUAACCGGCAGUUUUCCACUAGGAGAACACGGCCUUACAGCCCUACUUCUGGGGAGUCGCUGUGGGAAGAGGAUAUUGUUAAACUCAAAACUAUUCUUUGUUCUUGUUGGGCGUCUAGGCGUGUGGGAGUGUAUGUGUUUUAAGAGCAGGGUUAAAAGAGGAAUGUCUUUCUCCGCACCAACCCCCCGAACUGCCACAGUGCAGUUUUGCUCAAGAAAAGGAUAACUGGUACAUGGAGAACAGCUGUUGCGAAACUCAUGUGCCCCGCACAGCAGAAGGGUGGGCUGUACAGAUCUGCAGCAAGAAUCGGAAGGGUGGCAGGAAGAUAAUCUCAUUAGGUUUUUGAAGACUUGUCUGGUUCCCACACGGCUGUCUGCCCAUCCUUGUGAAUCCAGGGCUGACAUGGGAAGCCUCAGACUCAGAUUUAGAUCUGUCCAAGGAGAUUCACAAAGUCUAUAGAUUCUGCAGGAGGAUAUUUGAGGCUCAAGAGUUGAUCUGGCCCAGCACAUCAGUCUGGUGGGCACCUCUCCCGAGUCUCAGAUGAAAAUCAACCCUCUGUUUGACUGCUGCUGCUGCUGCUGCUGCUAAGU
ensembl:lncRNA